rnacentral:sRNA from 1 species
CUUGAUCAGACCUAUCUGGACUUCAGAUCAUCCUCGGGAAGGUACGCCUACCUCACGCCACCCGCCGAGGAC